rnacentral:rRNA from 1 species
CGCUGGCGGCAGCGCUAACACAUGCAAGUCGAGCGGCUAGCGGGAGAGCUUGCUCUCUGGGUGACGAGCGGCGGACGGGUGAGUAAUGUCUGGGAAACUGCCUGAUGGAGGGGGAUAACUACUGGAAACGGUAGCUAAUACCGCAUGAUGUCGCAAGCACAAAGUGGGGGACCUUCGGGCCUCACGCCAUCGGAUGUGCCCAGAUGGGAUUAGCUAGUAGGUGGGGUAAUGGCUCACCUAGGCGACGAUCCCUAGCUGGUCUGAGAGGAUGACCAGCCACACUGGAACUGAGACACGGUCCAGACUCCUACGGGAGGCAGCAGUGGGGAAUAUUGCACAAUGGGCGCACGUGAAUGCAGCCAUGCCGCGUGUGUGAAGAAGGCCUUAGGGUUGUAAAGCACUUUCAGCGAGGAGGAAGGCGUUGUAGUUAAUAAGCUGCAACCGAUUGACGUUACUCGCAGAAGAAGCACCGGCUAACUCCGUGCCAGCAGCCGCGGUAAUACGGAGGGAUGCAGCGUUAAUCGGAAUUACUGGGCGUAAAGCGCACCCAGGCGGUUUGUUAAGUCAGAUGUGAAAUCCCCGAGCUUAACUUGGGAACUGCAUUUGAAACUGGCAAGCUAGAGUCUUGUAGAGGGGGGUAGAAUUCACGGUGUAGCGGUGAAAUGCGUAGAGAUCUGGAGGAAUACCGGUGGCGAAGCGGGCCCCCUGGACAAAGACUGACGCUCAGGUGCGAAACGGUGGGGAGCAAACAGGAUUAGAUACCCUGGUAGUCCACGCUGUAAACGAUGUCGACUUGGAGGUUGUGCCCUUGAGGCGUGGCUUCCGGAGCUAACGCGUUAAGUCGACCGCCUGGGGAGUACGGCCGCAAGGUUAAAACUCAAAUGAAUUGACGGGGGCCCGCACAGCGGUGGAGCAUGUGGUUUAAUUCGAUGCAACGCGAAGAACCUUACCUACUCUUGACAUCCAGAGAAUUUGCUAGAGAUAGCUUAGUGCCUUCGGGAACUCUGAGACAGGUGCUGCAUGGCUGUCGUCAGCUCGUGUUGUGAAAUGUUGGGUUAAGUCCCGCAACGAGCGCAACCCUUAUCCUUUGUUGCCAGCACGUAAUGGUGGGAACUCAAAGGAGACUGCCGGUGAUAAACCGGAGGAAGGUGGGGAUGACGUCAAGUCAUCAUGGCCCUUACGAGUAGGGCUACACACGUGCUACAAUGGCGUAUACAAAGAGAAGCGAACUCGCGAGAGCAAGCGGACCUCAUAAAGUACGUCGUAGUCCGGAUUGGAGUCUGCAACUCGACUCCAUGAAGUCGGAAUCGCUAGUAAUCGUAGAUCAGAAUGCUACGGUGAAUACGUUCCCGGGCCUUGUACACACCGCCCGUCACACCAUGGGAGUGGGUUGCAAAAGAAGUAGGUAGCUUAACCUUCGGGAGGGCGCUUACCACUUUGUGAUUCAUGACUGGCGUGAAGUCGUAACAAGGUAACCGUA